rnacentral:tRNA from 1 species
GGGGGUGUAGCUCAAUAGGAGAGUGCUUGCCUGGCAUGCAUGUGGCCAUGGGUUCAAUUCCCAGUAUCACAG